GACGAACCGUGCGAACGUUAUUCGGAAUCACUGGGCUUAAAGGGCGCGUAGGCGGGCCACCAAGUCCGGGGUGAAAUCCUCCAGCUCAACUGGAGAGCUGCCUCGGAUACUGGAGGUCUCGAGGGAGAUAGGGGCACGCGGAACUUAGGGUGGAGCGGUGAAAUGCGUUGAUAUCCUAAGGAACACCGGUGGCGAAAGACGGCUCACUGGACCUCUUCUGACGCUGAGGCACGAAAGCUAGGGUAGCAAACGGG
rnacentral:rRNA from 1 species